AAACGAGAUAGAGGUUGCAUUUUUUAUCAGUACGCUGCCGGAUGUGCAGGGCAGGGGAAGACAGCGGAAAGGAAAAGAUGCCGAAAGGAUAUGAUGCCUGAAGUCAUAUUGCUUGGGCAUGGCGUGAAGAACGUCAUGACUGUCAUCGCAGGAUGGAGUGCUAUCUGAUAU
rfam:Clostridium sp. ASF502 genomic scaffold acMal-supercont1.3, whole genome shotgun sequence.